AGCGAACGCUGGCGGCAGGCCUAACACAUGCAAGUCGAACGGUACCUUCGGGAUUAGUGGCGGACGGGUGAGUAGCACGUGGGAACGUGCCCUUUGGUUCGGAACAACUCAGGGAAACUUGGGCUAAUACCGGAUGUGCCCUUCGGGGGUAAGAUUUAUCGCCAUUGGAGCGGCCCGCGUCUGAUUAGCUAGUUGGUGGGGUAAAGGCCUACUAAGGCGACGAUCAGUAGCUGGGCUGAGAGGAUGAACAGCCACAUUGGGACUGAGACACGGCCCAAACUCCGACGGGAGGCAGCAGUGGGGAAUCUUGCGCAAUGGGCGAAAGCCUGACGCAGCCAUGCCGCGUGAAUGGUGAAGGUCUUAGGCUUGUAAAAUUCUUUCACCGGGGACGAUGAUGACGGUACCCGGAGAAGAAGCCCCGGCUAACUUCGUGCCAGCCGCCGCAGUAA
rnacentral:rRNA from 1 species